UAUACAUGCAAGUCGAGCGGACAGAUGGGAGCUUGCUCCCUGAUGUCAGCGGCGGACGGGUGAGUAACACGUGGGUAACCUGCCUGUAAGACUGGGAUAACUCCGGGAAACCGGGGCUAAUACCGGAUGCUUGAUUGAACCGCAUGGUUCAAUUAUAAAAGGUGGCUUUUGGCUACCACUUACAGAUGGACCCGCGGCGCAUUAGCUAGUUGGUGAGGUAACGGCUCACCAAGGCAACGAUGCGUAGCCGACCUGAGAGGGUGAUCGGCCACACUGGGACUGAGACACGGCCCAGACUCCUACGGGAGGCAGCAUUAGGGAAUCUUCCGCAAUGGACGAAAGUCUGACGGAGCACCGCCGCGUGAGUGAUGAAGGUUUUCGGAUCGUAAAACUCUGUUGUUAGGGAAGAACAAUUACCUUUCGAAUAGGGCGGUACCUUGACGGUACCUAACCAGAAAGCCACGGCUAACUACUUGCCAGCAGCCGCGGUAAUACGUAGGUGGCAAGCGUUGUCCGGAAUUAUUGGGCGUAAAGCGCGCGCAGGCGGUUUCUUAAGUCUGAUGUGAAAGCCCCCGGCUCAACCGGGGAGGGUCAUUGGAAACUGGGGAACUUGAGUGCAGAAGAGGAGAGUGGAAUUCCACGUGUAGCGGUGAAAUGCGUAGAGAUGUGGAGGAACACCAGUGGCGAAGGCGACUCUCUGGUCUGUAACUGACGCUGAGGCGCGAAAGCGUGGGGAGCGAACAGGAUUAGAUACCCUGGUAGUCCACGCCGUAAACGAUGAGUGCUAAGUGUUAGAGGGUUUCCGCCCUUUAGUGCUGCAGCAAACGCAUUAAGCACUCCGCCUGGGGAGUACGGUCGCAAGACUGAAACUCAAAGGAAUUGACGGGGGCCCGCACAAGCGGUGGAGCAUGUGGUUUAAUUCGAAGCAACGCGAAGAACCUUACCAGGUCUUGACAUCCUCUGACAACCCUAGAGAUAGGGCUUCCCCUUCGGGGGCAGAGUGACAGGUGGUGCAUGGUUGUCGUCAGCUC
rnacentral:rRNA from 1 species